rnacentral:rRNA from 1 species
CAAUAGCGUAUAUUAAAGCUGUUGCGGUUAAAAAGCUCGUAGUUGGAUUUCUGUCAAGGAUAACUGGUCCGCCCUCCGGGUGAGCACAUAGUUUGGUCUUGGCAUCUUGCUGGAAACUGUUGCUGCGCUUGGUUGUGUGGUGCAGCUUUCAGCACUUUCACUUUGAGGAAAUUGGAGUGUUUCAAGCAGGCACAUGCCUUUGGACACAGUAGCAUGGAAUAAUUAGAUUGGGCUUUUGCUCCAACUUGUUGGUUCCUGGAGCUGAGGUGAGAAUCAAUGGGGAUUGUUGGGGGCAUCCGAAUUUAGCCGUCAGAGGUGAAAUUCUUGGAUCUGCUAAAGACGGACAACUGCGAAAGCGUUUGCCCAGGAUGUUUUCAUUGA